GUAAGCGCUCUCGUGUGUCACACAUGUAUGUCAGGAGCAUAAUUUCAGCCCCACUAAACGAUUCACAUUUUUAAGUUUCGGAGGACCAGUCUCUGCAGAUGUCCACUUCCCACUUCCAGAUUAGUGAAGGUCCCGAGCACCAAGGGCCCAGCCAGGAGGGAUGGGAUGCCGGACGCCCAGGCCCAGCAUCGGGGGUAGAGAGGAGCACUGGAGAUCGCAGGAGGGGCCGUGGUAGAACAGGGACGGCUGCAGAGCCCAAGCCACGCACAGAUAAAGUGUCCCAGUGUGCAGGCAACGGGAUGGAGGCUGGAGAUGGUUCAAAGCCAACGCUGAGGAAAACCCCG
rnacentral:lncRNA from 1 species